rnacentral:rRNA from 1 species
CGUAGGUGCAAGCGUUGUCCGGAAUUAUUGGGCGUAAGAGCUCGUAGGCGGUCUGUCGCGUCUGCUGUGAAACUCAGGGCUUAACCCUGGGCCUGCAGUGGGUACGGGCAGACUAGAGUGCGGUAGGGAGACUGGAAUUCCUGGCGUAGCGGUGAAUGCGCAGAUAUCAGGAGGAACACCGGUGGCGAAGGCGGGUCUCCGGGCCGUAACUGACGCUGAGGAGCGAAAGCAUGGGUAGCGAACAGGAUU